CUCAGCAAACGGAGACCUCCUCCUCUCUGAAAACCAGCUGGGAGGUAGUGACAACUAAGUAUACUGUUAUGACAGAAUUAACAGUCCCCUGGCAAGAGAAAACAGAAGAGGAAAGUGGACAUAAAAGGAAAAGAAGCGCGCUUUCUGACAGAGCAGAGCUGUACAGCACAGGAGGCAGGACCUUUAAAGUUUUAAAAACAUCUACAACACUAUGGAGAAAGAAAAUUCAAGAGAGCUUUGUCAAAGAGGCACCCUGACCAGGAAAGCAAUGAGUGCCAGGCUGAAGUCAUACGAGAAUGGUGCCAGCACUCUGGAUGCUUCAGAAUCAAACUUCCAGGCAAGAGGAAAGAAUUCAUGAUUCUGCAACGUAACCUCUUUGUAGCAGAAAAUAAAGGUUAUACUAUAAAAAAAGGCUGUCACCUGCCAAUUGUUUUUGCAGAAGUAGAAAUUCCUGUAUACCAACAGCAGGACCUACUCCUUCAAAAAUACCCAAGGGUGAGUGGUGAAAAAAACAAAGGCAUCGCCUUGCAGGGCCACACGUCUCCCUUCUCCUCAGCAUGUACGUUGAACUAUGCAGAGUCAUGCCAGCACAACAGCUACUGUUCACAGCAACUACAGCGCCACAAGAAUACACCAGUGCUCAACACCCCACCAGUUCUGGGCAAAGGGCAAACCUGGGGAGAAAUGGAACCAGCCUACACUGGCUCAAGCAAGGACCUUUCCUUCCGCUCACUGCAGACUACUGGAAUGCAAUUGUUUGGGAUCAGCACUGGGUAUGUGGGCUAUGCAGCCAUUCCUUGCAGUCAAUAAUACAAGUGAAAAGUCACAUUUGACUCCUAGUUGUCAUCCUCUGAAAACUGGAAUAUUAUAAUAGGAGUUCCAGCUCCCACAAAGUGCUGCUUAAACUCAGUUAUUUUUGCCUUGAAUACAAAAAAUUAAAUUGUUUCAGUGUGCUACAAAACCUUAUAAGUCACAUCCUAAGCUAACUCGUCAUAUUUAUAAACUUGCCAUGUAUUAAUUAUGUAUUAAUAUCUUCAUUAGAAUUAUUUUUUACUGGUAAUUUAGAAGUAUAGGCACAGGCCCUUUGUCAAUUAUGUUUUUAUCACCUAUGUA